UUGACAUGUAUCCGACAGCCGUGGAAACACGGCCUUCUUCGGACGGAUAUACAGGUGGUGCAUGGCUGUCGUCAGCUCGUGUCGUGAGAUGUUGGGUUAAGUCCCGCAACGAGCGCAACCCUUGUCGUAUGUUGCCAGCACGUUAUGGUGGGAACUCAUACGAGACUGCCGGUGUCAAAACCGGAGGAAGGUGGGGAUGACGUCAAGUCAUCAUGCCCCUUAUGCCCUGGGCUGCACACGUGCUACAAUGGCCGGUACAAUGGGCUGCGAAACCGCGAGGUAGAGCGAAUCCCACAAAGCCGGUCCAAGUUCGGAUUGAAGGCUGAAACUCGCCUUCAUGAAGUCGGAGUCGCUAGUAAUCGCGAAUCAGCACGUCGCGGUGAAUACGUUCCCGGGCCUU
rnacentral:rRNA from 1 species